rnacentral:rRNA from 1 species
AGUCGACGAUGAAUCUUCUAGCUUGCUAGAAGUGGAUUAGUGGCGCACCGGUGAGUAAUGCAUAGGUUAUGUGCCCUUUAGUCUGGGAUAGCCACUGGAAACGGUGAUUAAUACUGGAUACUCCCUACGGGGGAAAGUUUUUCGCUAAAGGAUCAGCCUAUGUCCUAUCAGCUUGUUGGUGAGGUAAUGGCUCACCAAGGCUAUGACGGGUAUCCGGCCUGAGAGGGUGAUCGGACACACUGGAACUGAGACACGGUCCAGACUCCUACGGGAGGCAGCAGUAGGGAAUAUUGCUCAAUGGGGGAAACCCUGAAGCAGCAACGCCGCGUGGAGGAUGAAGGUUUUAGGAUUGUAAACUCCUUUGUUAGAGAAGAUUAUGACGGUAUCUAACGAAUAAGCACCGGCUAACUCCGUGCCAGCAGCCGCGGUAAUACGGAGGGUGCAAGCGUUACUCGGAAUCACUGGGCGUAAAGAGUGCGUAGGCGGGGUAAUAAGUCAGAUGUGAAAUCCUGUAGCUUAACUACAGAACUGCAUUUGAAACUGUUACUCUGGAGUGUGGGAGAGGUAGGUGGAAUUCUUGGUGUAGGGGUAAAAUCCGUAGAGAUCAAGAGGAAUACUCAUUGCGAAGGCGACCUGCUGGAACAUUACUGACGCUGAUGCACGAAAGCGUGGGGAGCAAACAGGAUUAGAUACCCUGGUAGUCCACGCCCUANACGAUGGAUGCUAGUUGNUGCCUUGCUUGUCAGGGCAGUAAUGCAGCUAACGCAUUAAGCAUCCCGCCUGGGGAGUACGGUCGCAAGAUUAAAACUC